UUUGAAGUUUUGGGAUGCCAAUCAGUUAUGAGAGCAACACAUUGUUGUCACGGUUACGCAGCAUAAGAACUGUCCGAAAAUGGGGGUAGGGGGGGAGUAAAAUGUGAUCAAAAGUCUAGAAAAAGGAAAAAUCUGAACUAAGAUUACAAGCGGGGCGUGACUUGCCCGAACAAACGCACGAACACAAGACCCGUUCCCUUACAGUCAACCGUUUAAUGACUCGGGUAGUGAUGUUGAGGCGGUGUGGAAGAAGUUUUUGUGUAGGUAAGAGACAAAUACAUUAUUCGAUAAAGAGAUUACAUUUUAUCGAGUAAUAUAAAGUCAGGUUUUUAUUACUAUUUUAUUAUUGUUGCUCUUUUAUUGUUGCUAAACGAGCAACAAUAAAAUUCAAAGCUGCCUUCUAGCUGCUGAAACUGGAAUUAGAUCUGAGAAUUAAGUCACCUUUGAGUUGAGUUGAGCACAUUUAAUUCAAAUCAAAUUUAAUGAAAAAAUAUUGAUCCCAAAGGGAAUCAAUAUUUUUUGAUGUUGCUUAAUCAAAGAGUUAUUGUAGACGGUGAUGGCUGCGAGCAAAGAGGCCAUCACAGCCACAGGUGCUCCAGAGUGCCAUGUUGCCAGCUACUGAUGCAUGUACAGUCUGUAUUACAGUCUAAUGCAGACUGUAACAGUCUGUAUUAUUAUAUUUGAACUGAACUAUGUGCCACUGGUUUAAUAUUCUAGAGAACAACAGAAGUGCCAAUAGUUACACAUAUGUGUGGAUGGGCAGAUGCAUAAUGUAGCGUUACUGUGUAGUCACAGGGGCUGGAUCUCUGCUUAAUGUCUGUCUCAUGCUUGUUUUGUUGUCAUAGCAACGAUUGAUGUUGUAUGUCAAGCUGCUAAAGUUUCUAUAGAGAACGUUGGAAUAAGAUUUUUUCUUUUUUUUUUUUUUAUAUGGCACCAAAACCAGCUCCAGUCCAGAGGAUCACAUCCUUGCCUGUUUGCUUCCUGCUUCCAGUCAGGCAGGGUGUAGGAAGGAAACAAAAUAAACAUGUAUCCUUAUCCUCUGAGCUCAGAAACGGUAAAGGAAAUAAAUCAAUAAAUAAAAUGUAGGAAAAAUUU